rnacentral:other from 1 species
GAAGUCCUGUAGUGUGCGUAUACCACUAUACGUUUUAAAGCCAACACUUUUUGAUAGGGAGCCUGACGUUUCAACUGGAAGUAAAUGCCUCGUGUUCGAAGGACUUACGGAAUGUUGAACAGGGCACCCACCUGCCAUUGCAGGCUUGAAAAACUUGGUGAUUACUUACGGCACAACGGGGCUUCU